GACGAACGCUGGCGGCGUGCCUAAUACAUGCAAGUAGAACGCAGUUGCGAACGGGUGAGUAACGCGUAGGUAACUGCCUGGUAGCGGGGGAUAACUAUUGGAAACGAUAGCUAAUACCGCAUACUACCAGAUGGACCUGCGUUGUAUUAGCUAGUUGGUGGGGUAACGGCUUACCAAGGCGACGAUAAAUAGCCGACCUGGGAGGGGGAUCGGACAACCUGGGACUGAGAAACGGCCCAGACUCCGACGGGAGGGAGCAGUAGGGAAACUUCGGAAAUGGACGGAAGUCUGACCGAGCAACGCCGCGUGAGGGAAGAAGGUUUUCGGAUCGUAAAGCUCUGUUGUAAGAGAAGCGGUAUCUUACCAGAAAGGGACGGCUAACUACGUGCCAGCAGCCGCGGUAAUAC
rnacentral:rRNA from 1 species